UACGUAGGGGGCUAGCGUUGUCCGGAUUUAUUGGGCGUAAAGAGCGCGUAGGCGGCUCGUUAAGUGAGAAGUGAAAGCUCUUGGCUCAACCAAGAAACCGCUUUUCAUACUGGCGAGCUAGAGUGAUGCAGAGGUGGAUAGAAUUCCCGGUGUAGCGGUGAAAUGCGUUGAUAUCGGGAGGAAUACCCGUGGCGAAGGCGGUCCACUGGGCAUCAACUGACGCUGAGGCGCGAAAGCGUGGGUAGCAAACAGGAUUAGAACUACCGAGUC
rnacentral:rRNA from 1 species